CUCGUAGGUGGUUUGUCGCGUUGUUCGUGAAAACUCACAGCUUAACUGUGGGCGUGCGGGCGAUACGGGCAGACUAGAGUACUGCAGGGGAGACUGGAAUUCCUGGUGUAGCGGUGGAAUGCGCAGAUAUCAGGAGGAACGCCGGUGGCGAAGGCGGGUCUCUGGGCAGUAACUGACGCUGAGGAGCGAAAGCGUGGGGAGCGAACA
rnacentral:rRNA from 1 species